rnacentral:lncRNA from 1 species
GAAAAACUCUUAUAAUUCUAUUAAAUAGUGGUUUUAAUUUUAAUCAUCUUGAUACAAUAUUUUUUAAUAUCCAUAAAUAUGAGUUUCCAAAUGCUUUUCAGAAAGAAGGUGCAAUAAGAUUAAACAGGGAGUCCAGACAAGUAAUUAAAUCCAGCACAAGGCCCAAAUAUGCACCAAUGAGGUUGAACAAAGAAAUUUCAAUCAAUUGGCACUAUGAAAAUCGAUUGGAGAAGCUUGGUGCACUUAUUUUCAUAUCAAAUUCAAGCUAAAAUUUCCCUUCAAGUAAAUAAAAUCUCAACAUUGAUGAGGUACACACAAAAUCCUUAAAAAAUAUGGCGAACAAAUCAAUUGGAGCCUUUAAGCAAUUGAUUGGCACACUCAAUCUCAAAAGAUUUUGAUAUUAUUUUAAAUCACCAUAAUCCUCAUUAAUUUCCUUCUAUAAAUACACUAUCAAAUCUUCAAAAGGCAUAGUAUAAAUAAGUAUGCUCUCUCACUACCUCUUGCAUCUCAAAUUCAUCUCUUCUAGUCUUCUUUUUGUGAGUUCUGUUUCCGUAAGUAUCAUCAUGGAUUCCUUAAGACAAAAACUGAGAUAAACACCAAGAAGAGAUAUUAUCAUAGUUGCAUUAAUGAAUAAAAAGCAAGAAGAGAAUACUAGAACCAUGGUUUAUGGAGGAAACAUUCAUGAGAGGCUACAAACCCUACUCUCAUAUUUGUCAAGCCUUAUUAAGAGUUUUCUUUACAAAGAUACCCGAUAGAAUAUUCUCAAAUCUAGUAAAAGAAUUAUACUCAAACCUAUAUGUGACAUGAAAGACUCUAGCAUCAACAAUAAACCAUGUAAGAAUAGUAAUCCACACAUAACAUUUUGGUAUAAUGUUUGAAAUACUCUUCCUAGGAACAUUCUACAAGUUCAAGAGACUCAUAUGUCUCAAAAAUUUCAAGUGAAACACGGCUUUAAACACUCUAAUUACGAAUCCCAUGGAUAAAAGAAGAUUUCCUUUUAGGACAACCCUCUUGAAGCCAAAAGUUUGAAUUAUUCACUACUCUAUAACAGGAAUCUUGCUCCCAAGAAACAACAAUAACAAUUAUGUUAUCAAGGAUGACAUCUUCCCUCGUUGACUUACCCAAAACAUUCCAACUACCUAGAUGGAUGGGAUAUUUCAUCACAUGUCAUACUCCAAAGAAAAACCCUUAAUAGAACUUCCAUAUGGAACAAUAAUUACAAGAAUUUUAAGUACUUUUAACAUUGAUACUGAGAGAGAGAAAACAAUUUCAUCAAAUAUUAUAAUUGAUUACACCAGUCUCAUAGACAUGAAAAUUGAUAUAAAAUAUGAAGAAUUAAGAAAUGACUAGAGAAUAGGGAAAAAAACUCU